UUUCCGUAGGUGAACCUGCGGAAGGAUCAUUAACGAGUUAGGGUCUUCUAGGCCCGACCUCCCAACCCUUUGUUUACUGAACCAUUGUUGCCUCGGUGGGUCCGUCUUACGACCGCCGGGGGAUCGCCGCGAGGCGCCCCCUGGCCAGCGCCCACCGAUAGCCCAACCUUUAAAACCCUUUGUGAAUCGUGUCUUAUGUCUAAAUUUAUGAUUAAACAAUCAAGACAAAACUUUCAACAACGGAUCUCUUGGUUCUG
rnacentral:misc_RNA from 1 species